ensembl:snRNA U6 U6 spliceosomal RNA
GUGCUCACUUCGACAUCACAUACGCUAGAAUUGGAAGAAUAUUAAGAAGAUUAACAUGGCCCCCUGCAGGAGGAUGACAGAAAAUCUCAACUGGAUAGGCAGUCAGUACCUUUAUUU